GCUCCGGUGGCCUAGUGGUUAGAGCGUCAGCCUCGGAUGCGGGAGGUCGCUGGUUCGAUCCCUGGCUGAAUUA